GGAGACGUGGCUGAGUGGUCGAAAGCGCUCCCCUGCUAAGGGAGUAGUCGUGAAUUAAGCGGCUCGAGGGUUCAAAUCCCUCCGUCUCCG
rnacentral:tRNA from 1 species